rnacentral:rRNA from 1 species
UACGUAGGGUGCAAGCGUUAUCCGGAAUUAUUGGGCGUAAAGAGCUCGUAGGCGGUUUGUCGCGUCUGCUGUGAAAACUGGAGGCUCAACCUCCAGCCUGCAGUGGGUACGGGCAGACUAGAGUGCGGUAGGGGGAGAUUGGAAUUCCUGGUGUAGCGGUGGAAUGCGCAGGUAUCAGGAGGAACACCAUGCGAAGGCAGAUCUCUGGGCCGUAACUGACGCUGAGGAGCGAAAGCAUGGGGAGCGAACAGG